rnacentral:snoRNA from 1 species
CUCCAUCAGAUCUUGGUCCCAUCAGAACACUGGUUUUGGUGGUCAUAAAGGGAGGCAUAGUGGUAAUGAAGCUGUCCUCACAGUGCUUGUAGUCUAUAGAGCAUGUGGGCUUGUUUCAAACAAGG